rnacentral:rRNA from 1 species
UUCAACGGCCGCGGUAUCCUAACCGUGCGAAGGUAGCGUAAUCACUUGUUCUUUAAAUGAGGACUAGUAUGAAUGGCACCACGAAGGUUAUACUGUCUCCCCUUUCUAAUCAGUGAAACUAAUCUCCCCGUGAAGAAGCGGGAAUAAAACUAUAAGACGAGAAGACCCUAUGGAGCUUUAAACAAAUAAACAAUUGCCCAAAUCUAUUUAWUCCCCCGGGGCAAUCAMAUAUAUCUAGUCAUUUUGAUUUAUAGUUUUAGGUUGGGGUGACCGCGGAGUAAAAUAUAACCUCCAUGAUGAAAGGAACUUUUUUAACCACCCAAUUAAUUGAUCAACGAACCAAGUUACCCUAGGGAUAACAGCGCAAUCCACUUCAAGAGCCCCUAUCGACAAGUGGGUUUACGACCUCGAUGUUGGAUCAGGGUAUCCUAGUGGUCAGC